rnacentral:rRNA from 1 species
AAUGGGAUUCCUUAAGUAAUUGCGAAUGAACAAGGAAAUGCUCAGCUUGAAAAAUGGGGCCUUUGGCUUUGAAUUGUAAUUUUGAAAUGUAUUGCCAAUGGAGGCGCAGGUGCAAGCCUAUUGAAAGAAAGCGUCAAUGAGGGUGAGAUUCCUUUUUGUCAUUUGCAGUCCUCCGUGCACGGUAUAUAUUUGACGAGUCACACUCCUCGGCAUUGGAAUGCAAAGUGGGUGGUAAAUUCCAUGUAAAGGUAAAUAUAUUAUUGAGACUGAUAGCAAACAAGUACCAUGAGGGAAAUAUGAAAAGGACUUUGAAAAGAGAAUUAAAAGAGUCUGCAUUUGCUGAACAGAAAGCAAACAGAAUUGAUUUUACUUGGUGAGAUUGUUGUGCUUACUCUAUCAUUUAUAUGGUUGAUGUGGGUGCGAUGGUUCUUACCUUGAAUGUCAGCUUCUAUUUCUGCAAAUCAUUACCCUUGCACAUGAAUGGUAAUUUGCCUGCGGGUAUUGGAAUGCAUGUGUUUGCAAUGAUUUGUGAUUUGACGCAUGUGUUUGGUGAAAUUUGUAUAUGCUCUUUUGUCGAAGGGGAAAGCUUACUUUUUUGAGCAUUGCAAGCCCUUACACAUCAGUGCUGGCAAAAUGUUUCUGCUUGACCCGUCUUGAAACACGGACCAAGGAGUCUAACAGAUGUGCAAGUUCGUGGGUGGCAAACCUUUUUGCGCAAUGAAAGUAUUGGCUGGGAUACUUGCACCAGCAGCCGACCAAUUAGCAGACAGAGGUUUGAGUUUGAGCAUAUCUAUUAGGACCCGAAAGAUGGUGAACUAUGCCUGAACAGAAUGAAUUCAGAGGAAACUCUGAUGGAGGUUCGUAUCGAUACUGACGUGCAAAUCGUUCGUCAUACUUGGGUAUAGGGGCGAAAGACUAAUCGAACCAUCUAGUAGCUGGUUCCCUCCGAAGUUUCCCUCAGGAUAGCUGGAGUUGCACAGUUUUAUCAGGUAAAGCGAAUGAUUAGAGGAAUUGGGGACACGCUGUCCUUGACCUAUUCUCAAACUUUAAAUGGGUAAGAUGCAAUGGUUGCUUUAUUGAACUUUUGGAAUAAAUGGCAAUAUCAGGUGGGCCAUUUUUGGUAAGCAGAACUGGCGAUGAGGGAUGAACCUAACGUUGGGUUAAGGUGCUUAAUUGCUUGCUCAUUAGAUACCAGAAAGGGUGUUGGUUCAUUUUAACAGCAGGACGGUGGUCAUGGAAGUCGAAAUCCGCUAAGGAGUGUGUAACAACUCACCUGCCGAAUGGACUAGCCCCGAAAAUGGAUGGCGCUCAAGCGGGUGACCGAUACCCAACCACNGNNNCAAAUAGUGUCAGUGUGUAGGAGGGCAUGGCGGUUUGUGAUGCAGCCUUUG